rnacentral:misc_RNA from 1 species
GAAAUGCGAUAAGUAGUGUGAAUUGCAGAAUUCAGUGAAUCAUCGAAUCUUUGAACGCACAUUGCGCCCCUUGGUAUUCCAUGGGGCAUGCCUGUUCGAGCGUCAUCUACACCCUCAAGCUCUGCUUGGUGUUGGGCGUCUGUCCCGCCCCCGCGCGUGGACUCGCCCCAAAUCCAUUGGCAGCGUUCCUUGCCCCCUCUCGCGCAGCACAUUGCGCUUCUCGAGGUCGGCUCCGGGACGCGAUCCAGCAAGAUGACCACCGUCUUUGACCUCGGAUCAGGUAGGGAUACCCGCUGAACUUAAGC